CUUCCACAAUAUCGAUCAGAAUAGGCGUUGCCUUGUAA
rnacentral:sRNA from 1 species